rnacentral:rRNA from 1 species
ACGUAGGACGCAAGCGUUAUCCGGAAUUACUGGGCGUAAAGGGCGUGUAGGCGGCACGGUAAGUCAACCGUGAAAGCUCCCGGCUAAACUGGGAGAGGUCGGAUGAGACUGCCGAGCUAGAGAAUCGUAGAAAAAUAUGGAAUUCCGAGUGUAGUGGUGAAAUGCGUAGAGAUCCGGAGGAACACCAGAGGCGAAGGCGGCACCCUGGACGACACCAGACGCUGAGACGCGACAGCACGGGGAGCGAACGG